AGCAGCCGCGGUAAUUCCAGCUCCAAUAGCGUAUAUUAAAGUUGUUGCAGUUAAAAGCUCGUAGUUGAAUUUCGAGACCGGUCUACUGGUCGUGCUUUUGUACGUACUAGUAUAAUCGGUUUCUCUCUUCUGACGAACUAUAAUGCCAUUAAUUUGGUGUUUUAGGGAAUUAGGACUGUUACUUUGAAAAAAUUAGAGUGUUUAAAGCAGGCUCACGCUUGAAUACAUUAGCAUGGAAUAACGAAAUAGGACGUUUGAUUCUAUUUUGUUGGUUUCUAGGAUCGACGUAAUGAUUAAUAGGGAUAGUUGGGGGCAUUAGUAUUCAAUUGUCAGAGGUGAAAUUCUUGGAUUUAUUGAAGACUAACUACUGCGAAAGCAUUUUGCCAAGGAUGUUUUUCAUUAAUCAAGAACGAAAGUUAGGGGAUCGAAGACGAUCAGAUACCGUCGUAGUCUUAACCAUAAACUAUGCCGACUAGGGAUCGGAUGAUGUUAAAUUAAUGACUCAUUCGGCACCUUACGG
rnacentral:misc_RNA from 1 species